rnacentral:lncRNA from 1 species
GAAUGAAGUGAAACCAUUACUGUAAACACAGAAGACAUUCAGCAAUGUUCCGAAGCACAGAUUUUUGGCAGCAGUAAGCUCUCUCCAGAUAGCUGCUUGGGAGUUUACACAUUGGUCACAUAUGAAUCCAUUUUGUGAACCUUACUCAAAUCUGCACCUGCCUCCCAGAGACAAACGGAAAGGGGAAGAGAUGGCAGCUGGCACAUCUACCUACAGUCCUGGUCACCUCUCCGCUCCUGUUUGACAGGGAAGUGUUGCUGAGUCUUUGCAGCAUCCCCUCUACAGCCUGCCUCACUCCGCGUAGCUCUGAAGAUCUGGCUCAGAGAAAUCAGAGGGCCGAGCUGCCUCCCAGCUUC